CCGCCUGCGCCAUUCCCCGUCACCCCAGCCGGCCUCCGGCGCCAUUCCCUGUCGCCCCCGACCGCCGCGGCCCCUUUCGUCUUCACCAUCGGCGCCACCGGGCCCGACCUCGUCCGCCUCCGCCCGUGUCCGCCCGCCGGAGCUUGCCUCCGCUCGCGCCACCGGUUGCCGCCUGCCGGAGCUUGCCUCUGCAUGCGCCACCGGGCGCCGCCCGCCGGAGCUUGCCUCCGCCCGCGCCACUGAGCGCCGCCCGCCUCUGCCCGCGUGUGCCCGCCUCCGCCCGUGCUGUCCGACUGCCGGAGCCCGCCUCACUCGCCUCACCGACCGUCGCAGGGAGCAGCGCCGGGCGCGGAGGGCCGCUGCUGCUCGUCUCCAUCAGGUGCAAGACACCGAGUGGCUGUCGACAGGCGCUGCCCCGUGCCCGGUGCGGUCUGCAGAAGGGCGACAAAGUUGCUUGGCCUUUUUUCUCUGUAUCAUGAAUAUAUAUCUUGAUUAUCGAAAAUAUUGAUGUUGAGUUGUGUAAAUGGAUAUACAAACAAUGCUGUAGCUACCAAUGUUUUAUGGUUAGGUGUUCUGCGAACAGAUUGUAAUAGACUUGUUGUGUAAAUUGAUCUAUGAAGAAUGCCAUGAGAAAUGUUUUAGAAAAUGUUC
rnacentral:rRNA from 1 species